rnacentral:rRNA from 1 species
GAUGAACGCUGGCGGCGUGCCUAAUACAUGCAAGUCGAGCGAAUGGAUUGAGAGCUUGCUCUUAUGAAGUUAGCGGCGGACGGGUGAGUAACACGUGGGUAACCUGCCCAUAAGACUGGGAUAACUCCGGGAAACCGGGGCUAAUACCGGAUAACAUUUUGAACCGCAUGGUUCGAAAUUGAAAGGCGGCUUCGGCUGUCACUUAUGGCUGGACCCGCGUCGCAUUAGCUAGUUGGUGAGGUAACGGCUCACCAAGGCAACGAUGCGUAGCCGACCUGAGCGGGAGGUCGGCCACACUGGGACUGAGACACGGCCCAGACUCCUACGGGAGGCAGCAGUAGGGAAUCUUCCGCAAUGGACGAAAGCCUGACGGAGCAACGCCGCGUGAGUGAUGAAGGCUUUCGGGUCGUAAAACUCUGUUGUUAGGGAAGAACAAGUGCUAGUUGAAUAAGCUGGCACCUUGACGGUACCUAACCAGAAAGCCACGGCUAACUACGUGCCAGCCGCCGCGGUAA